ACGCGAAACCCCCUCCGCCUGCCCAGGCGGGGGGUGGUCAUCCGGCGGUGGUGCGCCGGGUCUGACGAGCAGCCGAAU
rnacentral:hammerhead_ribozyme from 2 species